rnacentral:rRNA from 1 species
AACGAACGCUGGCGGCAGGCCUAACACAUGCAAGUCGAGCGAGAUCUUCGGGUCUAGCGGCGGACGGGUGAGUAACGCGUGGGAAUAUGCCUCUUGGUACGGAAUAGCCUCGGGAAACUGGGAGUAAUACCGUAUGUGCCCUUUGGGGGAAAGAUUUAUCGCCAAGAGAUUAGCCCGCGUUGGAUUAGGUAGUUGGUGGGGUAAUGGCCUACCAAGCCGACGAUCCAUAGCCGGUUUGAGAGGAUGAUCAGCCACACUGGGACUGAGACACGGCCCAGACUCCUACGGGAGGCAGCAGUGGGGAAUCUUAGACAAUGGGGGCAACCCUGAUCUAGCCAUGCCGCGUGAGUGAUGAAGGCCUUAGGGUUGUAAAGCUCUUUCAGCUGGGAAGAUAAUGACGGUACCAGCAGAAGAAGCCCCGGCUAACUCCGUG